rnacentral:misc_RNA from 1 species
AUCAGUUUCGAAGUGGAUACACGAGCGACGAAAACGUGGUAACAGUUGCGCGAAUCGCGAAACGUAUCAAUCAAAUAUCGUGAAACGUCGUGAAUUUAUAUACCUGUCACCGUGAACAAGAGUUCAUCGAUGUCCCGCGGCUCGAUGGGCGAGAAGGGGAGGAAGAAGGUGGAGGAUCUCGACGAUGACAUGUCGCGAAGGGGGACAAUAUUUUCGCGUGAGGCCGAGAAACAGCUCUGUCCAGGAAGGCCGUGACGUAACAAUAUCUUGCGAAGUUGGAAACAGAGUUGGGAUCGUGCAGUGGGUGAAAGAUGGCUUCGCCUAUGUCAUACAAUCGAAUGGAGAAAUCGUGGGGCAUCCGCGAUUGAGAUUAAUAGGCGAUCAGAGCACAGGAGUUUACAAUCUUCAGAUCACACAGGCUUCUUUGACCGACGAUGGGGAAUAUCAGUGCCAAGUUGGACCAUAUUUGCGCAUUAAAUCGAUCCGUGCCAACGCUCAUCUCACCGUCAUCUCGCCGCCGCAGAAAGUGGAGAUCAGCAAUCAUCCGAACAAGAAGAAGAUCGAGGUGAAGGUUGGGGAAUCUCGUCGUUUGGAAUGUGUGGUACGAUCUGCGAAACCUGCAGCCACGAUUACAUGGUAUCGUGGAAACAUUCAGAUCAAAGGAGGUGAAACGUCGAUUACACCUAUUUCCAUCGAGGGUGACAAAGAAGUACAAAAGCCAGGUGAGAACAAGAAGGAAUUGCUCAAAUACGACACCCACGGUUCCAUCGUCAUUGUUCCUACUGCUGAUGACAACGACAUGGAUUAUACUUGCGAAGCUAAUCAUCCUGCAUUACCCUACAGUAUGCCUUUAAGAGCAACCAUCAAACUUUCUGUUUUCUAUCCACCCACCAUGCCGUAUAUCGAAGGUUAUACCGAGGGUGAGACCGUGAAACGUGGACAACAAUUGGAUCUGACCUGCCGAUCUCGCGGAGGGAAUCCACCCCCCCAAAUAUUCUGGUACAAGAACAACGAAAGGAUCUCAUCACCCUACAGGAACGAGGGCCAUUUCUCUGAGAACGUGUUGUCCAUUACUGCGAAAGCGCAGGAUAAUAACGCGAGAUACAGAUGCGAGGUAUUCAAUAUCAUGAGCGUGGAACCUUUAAAAGUGCACGUGGAUCUGACUGUACUUUUCGCGCCAUCCGGAGUGACGAUCACCGGGCCAACAGAAGCGAAGGCCGACGAACAAGUGGUGAUCACCUGCACCACGGAGAACUCGAAUCCUCCCGCGGAUAUCAAGUGGACAGUGGACGGUCACAAUUUCGAGAGCAACGCCUCUAGAACCGAGCCAGCCCCCGAAGGUGGUUGGAUCACCACGUCCAACGUGACGUUCAACAUAAAUCGUACCAGUCGCAGUAUAGUCGUGAUAUGCGACGCGUCUAACGUGAAACUGACGGAGAACGUCGUCAGAACCCACACCAUAACCGUGAUUUAUCCACCGUCGAAACUUAGUAUCACCGGCUACGAGGAAGGAACGACGAUUGACGCAGGAACGAUACUGAGAUUGUUAUGCACUGCAACUUCCGGAAAUCCACUUGCCACGUUGAGUUGGUACAAGAAUGAUAGAAAGGUACCAGGAACCACGAGAACGCGAGACCAUGCGGUUUCAAGCGAGUUAACGAUACUCAUAAAUGCAUCUGACAAUAAUGCGCGCAUACGAUGCGAGGCAGCGAAUUCCGCGACACAAAUUCCCCUGCUCAAAGUGCUCGUCCUGAAAGUUAACUUUCCGCCUGAUAAAGUCAAGAUCACUCGCGAGCCGCAGAAUUUACACGCAGGCCAAGAGGGUCAUAUCAUUUGCGAAUCGAGCAGCAGUAAUCCGGCGGCGGAGAUGUCGUGGUGGAAGGGUGGGAUCCCGGUGCAAGGUACCAAAAAUGGCACUAAGCCUGGCUUACAUGGGGGAUUUCUAUCGUUCGUCGAACUGUCGUUGGAUGUAACGGAAGAAAUGAAUGGAGAAGUGUACACGUGUCAAGCGAGAAACAAUCAAAUGGAUAGGUCUAUUCACGACGCCACUACGCUCGACGUAUUGUAUAAGCCAAUAUUCUCCUCAAUCGAGCCUUACGAGUUAAUUGGAAUGGAAAGCGAACCUUUCGUAAUUUCCGUUUCAGCUAUGGGAAAUCCUAACGAGAUAAGUUACACGUGGACUAGAGAUGGUUUACCUCUGGUCAGUAAUAACAGAAGAAUAUCUGUUCGUGCUUCUACAUUAAAUAUCACUAAAUUGGAUCGUCAUGAUGCCGGAACUUAUAUUUGUGAAGCCACUAAUGAAGAAGGCACGACAUUUUAUCAAUUGAACUUAACUGUUCAAUAUUCAGCAAAGAUUAAACGCACCUCAACUUCGGGAAUAGUAUAUUCUCCCGGAAUCGAAGCGAAAUUGUUCUGCGAAGUGGACGGUAGUCCCAUAGGAGACGAAUAUGUCACGUGGCAGAAAGUUGGCUCAAACUCGGAACUCUCUGGCCGAUAUUCCACCUCUUUCAUCAACAAAACUUCUUAUCUGCACAUCGAGAACCCUGAUCAAGAAGAUGUUGGAGAAUAUCAAUGCAAAGUUAACAAUGGAAUCGGCAAUGUCACUUCUGAACCUAUUCUUUUCAUCACAAAUUUCAAACCACAAAUGAUGAAUACACCGUUGACGAGAAGAGCAGCAGCAAACAAAGGAGCAAACGUUCAAUUGUUAUGCAAAGCAAGAGGCUCGCCUUUACCUCGAUUCUCUUGGACAUUUAAUGGAAAAACAUUGCUUCCUAAUGUCACAGAACAUAAAUACGGAAUUACGCACACUGAUUUAAGCGAAUUAAUUUCCAAUUCGACGCUGACUAUUUUCCGUGUGACAUCGCACGAUUACGGGAAAUACGAGUGUCGUGCAACGAAUAAAAUGGGUCAGUCGACGGAUAUGAUACAUCUAGAUGUGACAUCGCCGCCGGACAAACCUAGCGAUCUUGAGGUGUUCAACGUCACCCAUGAUUCUGUCACACUGGUGUGGAAAAGAGGAUUCGAUGGUGGUUUGCCAACCUCGUAUCAGAUACGUUGGAGGCAGGCUCUCGAUUACGAGCAUCGAUACCACUAUCUGGAUGUAUCGGCAGGAGAAUAUAAAACCACGAUAACAGGAUUGUCCCUUGGGACAUACUAUGUGUUCAGCGUGAAAGCUAUCAAUGAGAAAGGAGACAGUGGCUUUCUACCUGACUUGGUUAAAGUUCAAACACUUCGGGAGGCACCACCUACCGACGUGACAUCCAGCGAGAUUAAUUCUUCCUACAUCAUCGUCAUUAUCAUCACUGUUUCCGCCUCUGUUUGCCUACUCAUUGCUGCGCCCAUAGUCUUUGCUACAUUAAAAUCGAAAAAGAAGGCCCAACGUUCCGGUAAAUAUAAUCAAUCAGCCCUAUAUCGUCUUUUUUCUGCUUUUAUCCUGCAGGGCCGAAUAACGCUGAGAACCUGCCGGACGUUCUCUUGGAAAAGGGGGAUUUUACAAUGAAUUAUAUCUAUACGUUUGCAGCAACUUCCCUCAUCUUUUUUAUCAUUAAUAUCUUCAUCAUCGUGUUGUGGUACAUUAUGAGAAAGCGAAAUAAAUCUCGAAUAAACAAAUCGCAAACAGCAGAUAUGUAUGCACCAUCAACCGUGAAUGGAGACACCAUGACCGGCGAAUUAAGUUCGGUAUCGGAUGAGAAGAGCGACGUUAACUUCGACACUAAUGAUUACGUG